GAUUAGCUACUUAACCAAUACUAACCACUCUCUCUCUUCUCUUCUUGUUGGUUGAACCUCCUCCAGAUAUUGGCCAAGAGUGAUGAAUCAUUAGGAAGUAGUUAAUGAAGGAAGCAUGCAAUCAAACGUGUGUUCACUUCCUUGCAUUAGUAUCACCAAACCAUCAUUUAAUCCACUACCCAUUGCCCUUUAAAUAGCCUUGUUAGAGUUCAGUUUUUGAGCCUUAAUAAGAGAGAAAAGAAAGAGAGAGCUGAACUGAGAAAAGAAAAGGGAAUGAGUGUGGGUGAGUUCCUUCCAUCCUUCUUGUGAAAAUCAAAAUUAAAGAACGUGAGUGAGAGAGGAAGCUAAUCAAAGCUUGAAGGGGGAGGAACCAGCAGCCUCACCAUCUUCACCAAGAUCUUUUCUUCAAAAUUUUGCAAUGAAAUUCACACCAACCAUCCUCCAAAAACUCCUUUCAAGCUGGCCAAAGCUAAUUGAAAUAAAGCUAGAACCGAUUUCUUGAGUAAGGAUGGAUUCCAUUGAGCAAACCUACACAAAAUACAACAUAACAGAACAACUUCUUCAAAAAAGAAAAAGAAACAGAAAGGGAAGAGAGGAGAGGGAUCCACGGAGAAAAAGGGAAGAGGGAAAGGAGGAGGGUCGUCGCCGCGCCACCACGCCUCGCCGUCGAGCUCGUCCUGCCACUGCCACCAACACUGACAAAGAAAGAGAGAGAUCGAGCAGAGGAAGAGAGAGAGCUUGUGAGGGAGCCACAGUUGGAGGGAGGCUGCCACUGCGUCCUGUUGCUUGCGCUACUGCUGUUCGUCCUCCCUGCUGUUAGAUGACGUCGCCGUUCGCGAAGAAGAGAUGGAGCUCGCCUUGCCUUUAGGUCCGUCGUCAAAUCCACCGUUGGAGUCACAAACAGAGGACGCCCGAGAGAGAACCGUCGCGGAGCUGCUUUUGCCACCGCGUUGUUGGCCUUGCUGUCGUUACGCCCGCGCUACUGCUGCGUCGCCAAAGCUCCACGCCGCCAUUGCUUCCACCGAGAACCGCUACUGCCGCCACUGAGAUCCACUGCCGGUAAGGAUUUUAAGUUGGCUUUUAUUUCCUUUGAUUUUUCAGGAGCUUUAUCAUCACUGGAUGUUAGUUACAGUCAUCGUCGUCGGAAUUUUGGUCACCGCUGCCAUUUGAGGUGGCUACUGGGCUGCCGUCAAACAGGUUCAGCAACCGCUGAUGUUUUGUUUUCUUGUUUCAGUAAGUGUUUAUGUUUCGAAAAACCCCUGCGUUAGUAUUAUGUUAUUUUUGGUGAUGAACUCUGAGGUUUGGUAACAUAGGUUCGAGUUCUGUAUGUUGCAUGUCGCUUUUAAGUUGCUGUGAGUGCUGUGAAAGUGAUCAGGGGCUGAGUUUGUGGUUGUCAUUAGUUCCGGGAUGAGAGAAAAGAGUUCGGUUGAUGCGUUUGGAUUAUGGUUUCGACAAGUCGAGUUAGGGACUUUUCUAAAAAUAAUUUAUUUUAAA